rnacentral:rRNA from 1 species
GAUGAACGCUGGCGGCGUGCCUAAUACAUGCAAGUCGAGCGAACAGAUGAGGAGCUUGCUCCUCUGACGUUAGCGGCGGACGGGUGAGUAACACGUGGAUAACCUACCUAUAAGACUGGGAUAACUUCGGGAAACCGGAGCUAAUACCGGAUGAUAUAUUGAACCGCAUGGUUCAAUAGUGAAAGACGGUUUUGCUGUCACUUAUAGAUGGAUCCGCGCCGCAUUAGCUAGUUGGUAAGGUAACGGCUUACCAAGGCAACGAUGCAUAGCCGACCUGAGAGGGUGAUCGGCCACACUGGAACUGAGACACGGUCCAGACUCCUACGGGAGGCAGCAGUAGGGAAUCUUCCGCAAUGGGCGAAAGCCUGACGGAGCAACGCCGCGUGAGUGAUGAAGGUCUUCGGAUCGUAAAACUCUGUUAUUAGGGAAGAACAAAUGUGUAGGUAACUAUGCACGUCUUGACGGUACCUAAUCAGAAAGCCACGGCUAACUACGUG